rnacentral:rRNA from 1 species
AACGAACGCUGGCGGCAGGCCUAACACAUGCAAGUCGAGCGGACCUUUCGGGGUCAGCGGCGGACGGGUGAGUAACGCGUGGGAAUAUGCCCUUCUCUACGGAAUAGUCCUGGGAAACUGGGGGUAAUACCGUAUACGCCCUUUGGUGGAAAGAUUUAUCGGGGAAGGAUUAGCCCGCGUUGGAUUAGGUAGUUGUUGGGGUAAUGGCCUACCAAGCCGACGAUCCAUAGCUGGUUUGAGAGGAUGAGCAGCCACACUGGGACUGAGACACGGCCCAGACUCCUACGGGAGGCAGCAGUGGGGAAUCUUAGAAAAUGGGGGCAACGCUGAUGGAGCCAUGACGGGUGAGUGAUGAAGGCCUUAGGGUUGUAAAGCUAGUUAAGCUGGGAAGAUAAUGACGGUACCAGCAGAAGAAGCCCCGGCUAACUCCGUG